CUACGUUGUAUUACUAUGAUGUAAUUGAAGUCGGUUUUUUUUCGUUUGCGAGCAAACACAAUUAUUACCUUGUUUAUCCCUUAGUAGCUGUUCCACCCGCUUCGCGUGGCAUUUAUUAAAAAAAAAUACAGUCGAUUUGAGAACCUCCUCCUUUUUUGGAAGUCGGUUAAAAAUCGUCCGUGAUGGAAGGAUAGUCAGUAUUAAUCAAUAGAUUGUGUCUACGCAAACUGUGUGGCUACGGCAAUAACGAAUAUUGCCCAUCUGUGACAGGCUGAAGUGAUGAAUCAAUAAGAAUCGUUAUUCACGCUACGUACUUGACGAUGGCUCAAUGUUCCUCGUCGUCCUCCGCGUCGGCUUCAACAGCGACACCCUCGCUGUCAGCGUCCGCAGUCUCUUCGUCGUUGGCACUAAGUACCCAGAAAGUUCUGCUGAAGAUACACCCUUACAACAGCAACUGCUGCCACGAUCUCUAACUGCAGCGAACCAAGAAGAACCAGCAAGAUGACAUUGCUACCAACCACAAUACAAAAAUAAAACUACUGAAGAAUGUGAAUUUUUUAAAAUAUGUUUAUGUGGAAGUUGUAAUCAGUCAUAAUCAUUGUUUUGUGGUCAUUGCAAAGAAGUUUGAUAGCGAUUGAAAAUUAAUAAUGAAAAAUAAAGCGAUGACAUAUUAAUGAUUUUAUUUUACUUUAAUUUAAAUAAUAGAUAUUUGUCAAAAAGUGUAACAAAUACCAUGGGAAAUAGUCUUGGGCUAGAACAACCCUAGCCGUUUUUAGUAGCAAGCCGAAAUUUUCAGUCUUUCUAGUAAUAUCUAUAAUGAUGUACAACAUGUACAAUGGGUAUAAUAACAAAUAAAAACUUCUCCAACAACUA